CGUGGAAGGCAGGCGGGCGAGCCCCGCUCCAGGACGUCACUCAGGGACCCAGGCGGGUGCCAUGGCACUGCCGUCCUCCACACGUGCUUUCCAGACUGCUCCAGGCACUCCUGCUUCCAGCCAGGAAGAAGAAAGUUGGCAACACAACUGGGGAACCAGCAGCUUCUUCAAGAAGAAGCGUGAGUUUGUUGGGCAACUGGAGAUGGUGGCUCAGUGGCCCUGAUUUGGUGACGGUGACAUCAGUAUGCUCAGCUUCUCUGACUCCAAAAUAUGUCCCUAUGAGCAAUCAGAAAGUUCCCUGGAGAAAAGAGCUGAAAAUCAACUGGAACUGGAAACUUAUUGGGUUAACAAACAACAUUUUCUUGCACCUGACCUUGCUGUGGACCAAAAGUUAGUACUCUGCCCAGGGCGAGCGGAGGAGAGAAGCUCCUUGUGAAGCAUAUCCCUUGUCCCCUGGUUCUGCCUGGGCCGCUGGGAAAUGGAAUGAGAUGCGUUUGAGGAGAGCGUACCUGUGAGUGGGGCUCGAUGCAGAGGGGUCCAUCUUCCAGUGGGGAAGUCAGCCUGGGCUUCGCAUCUUCCUGGCUGAGCUCCCAGGCCUCGUGGAGAUACAGAGACAAGCUGUCCUCACUGUGCAGUCCCAGGAUGAAGUCACGGAUCUAGAACACAGGAGGGCUCUGACAUUGGCGAGAGCGGCCCUGGAGAAGAAUCAUCUGCGCGCGGUAUGCCCCAAGGUCGAACAUGAGACAGCAUGCUUCACGUUGUGUCCUUGGCCUUUCCUAAACCCAGACACCUCUCCCUGGGUGUAAAAGCUGCCAUGGGUCCCCUCUGCAGAAUCCAACCUGAACUUCUCAGCCUGGUGCCCAGGUCCUUGGUUCACACGGGUCCCUUGCCUUCCUGGUAGCCUCAUUUGCAGCUCUCCCCAGCAGCCCCGUGCGUGUACCUCCCUGUUGCUUGGGGAAAGCAUACCCAUAGUCAGAGGCUGGCAAAAACUCACUCUUUGUAAAGCCAGCCCAGCCAACAGCAGAGGCCAGAGUGAAUCUAGGCUUUUAACAUUCAGCAUUUUCCUCUGUCUCGAGUGUUCCUUUCUCUGCUCAUUUCUUAGCAUUCUGUGGUUCCUUGAGGGUAGGGGCCACGUAUCACUCAGCUCUGUAGUCUCAGGGUCCAGCUCAGUGCUGGGCUCAUGACAGAUGCUCAGUAAAAGGUUGCUGAUGAAUGAAUGGGUGCCUGAGAGUGAGGAGGGAGUGUUCUCUGGGAAACACACGGGCAGAUGUUUUCUGAAAUGGGUGGUAAGUCAAGAAUGGAAAGUGGCACCUUCUACUUCCUUGUCUCCUGUUUUUCUGUCAUUCUCUCUCUUUUGCAUUGCUGCUCUCACACUUCUUAUUCUGGGGCAUCCUUAAUCCCUAGAAAUACCUGCUGGGAUCGUGUACUGGGGACACGGAUACCCCAAUACUAGCCCUGUACCAGAACAGUCACUUGAGCUCUUGUGAUUGAUAAAUCGGAGCCUUCUAGUACAGAUUUCUAUUUUACAUUUCUUUGUUGAAUACAUUAGGAAAUAUUAGUUACAAUGAAAAUGAGAGGUAGGAAAAACACCAUGCAGUGUCCAACACAGGUUGUUUUCUAUGGUCCACAGGCUAAUUUUUCUUCAGUUUAGAAUCAGAAACUGAUGAUACUUUCAUUUUUUUCCCUUAAGAAAAUAUGUAUGGAUUUAGUGAUCUUACUUUGAGGGUAAUUCUCUAAUGAUUUCACAUAAAUGUUUCUUCUUUAAUUUCAUCCCAAGGCCAAGCUUUAGUGCUUUGAAUGAUUAGUUCACACUGCAGCUAAUUUAGAAUUUGAGUCAACACAGACACAACAUGCAUGGAUAUUCUCAUAAGACAGAUUUGAAAUAACCCCUUUUCUCCAAAGUUUCAGAAUUUUACUUACAAAUAUGCAGAAUUUCAUCCAAGGUUGUCACCAGCUUAUAAACCAAGAGCUCAAGAAAUCAAGGCUUCUUGAAUCAUCAGUGCCUACUGACAAUUUUCAAAGACUUUCAUGCUUAGGAUGCAUGACUGGGUAAUGCAGGCCCAUUACACAUUUCAAUUUUUAGUCAAUUGAUCUCAUUUACUUAUUAAGAGUCAUUUAUAGAAAAAUCAAUUCAACUAAGUAUCUACAAAAGCAAUAUGAACAAAGACUUUGUAAAUUAGUGAAAAUGAUGCAACUUUGGGGUAUUAUUAAUAUCUGCAGGUAGCUGCGAAUCCAAGACUACAUUUUAAAAAGAUGCAGGCAAACUACAAAUAUUUGCCUAUCACUUCUGCUACAGAUAAACCUUUAUGAUUUUCCAUAUGAAGAUAAACAGAACCAGAGGAGGUAUUUCUACUUUCCAUAUCCUUCUGUAUCUUCAGGGGAAACCAGCUCUUGCUCCCCAGCUACCUGUAUUUUCAAGUCAGGUAACAACCCUGCAGCUCAAAGCAUGAGAUGAGGAGCCCCUCCACUGGAGAUGAGUGACUUAGCCCAAACGCCAUCACUAUGCACAACCACCCAUGUGCUUCCUGAUCAUCUUUCUUCCAGAGUAGCUGGUUUGAAGGUUCCGGAUUUUUGACCAUGGCUCUAGGCUGCCGCCCUGGUGGCUGGUAUCAGACGGCUCUGGGAAAACCCAAAGAAGCUUCAGCAACAGGGGAUUCAUUCCUUACCUUAAAAUUCUUCUUUUUUAAAAUCUGUAUCUUUAAAAUUAUAUUUUAUUGAUUUUGCUAUUACAGUUGUCCCAAUUUUUCUCCCUCUGCCCCCUUCACCUAGCCGCCCUCCCUCACUCCCUCAG